AGUAAGCCCCAGUUCUUACCCACGGCAGUAUUCUCUCACACUGAAGAUUACGUACUGAUGGGAGAAGAACAUCAAAAUAUGAUAUUCUGUUGGGAGACAAGGACAACUCAGUCAUACAAACCAUUAUUCACUUCUCAUCAAGGUCCUGUUAGAACUCUCUGUCACAGUCCGUUGGUCCCUGCAUUCAUAACUGGGGGAGAAGAUUGUAAAAUAAGAUUCUUCUGUUGCAAGGACCGCCAGAACUAAUUUUACAGAAAAA